rnacentral:rRNA from 1 species
UACGUACGAGGCGAGCGUUAUCCGGAAUUACUGGGCGUAAAGCGUGCGCAGGCGGCUUCUCAAGUCAGGGGUGAAAGCCCAGAGCUCAACUCUGGAAUUGCCUUUGAGACUGAGUGGCUUGAGUACGAGAGAGGUGAGUGGAAUUCCCAGUGUAGAGGUGAAAUUCGUAGAUAUUGGGAAGAACACCGGUGGCGAAGGCGGCUCACUGGCUCGUAACUGACGCUCAUGCACGACAGCGUGGGGAUCAAACAGG